rnacentral:rRNA from 1 species
GAUGAACGCUGGCGGCGUGCCUAAUACAUGCAAGUCGAAGGGAGUGGCGAACGGGUGAGUAACACGUGAGUAACCUGCCCUUUUCUUUGGGAUAAGCCUGGGAAACUGGGUCUAAUACUUGAUGGAUUGGGGUGGGCUCGGGGCUUAUCAGCUUGUUGGUGGGGUGAUGGCUUACCAAGGCUUUGACGGGUGGCCGGCAUGAAAGGGUGGUCGUUCACACUGGUACGGGGAUACGUCCCAGACUACUACGGGAGGCAGCAGUGGGGGAUAUUGCACAUUGGACGAAAGUCUGAUGCAGCGACGUCGUGUGGGGGAUGAAGGCCUUCGGGUUGUAAACUCCUUUCGCCCGCGGAAUGGUAGUGGGUAAAGAAGCGCCGGCUAACUACGUGCCAGCAGCCGCGGUAAUAC